rnacentral:rRNA from 1 species
GACGAACGCUGGCGGCGUGCUUAACACAUGCAAGUCGAACGGAAAGGCCCUGCUCUUGUGGGGUGCUCGAGUGGCGAACGGGUGAGUAACACGUGAGUAACCUGCCCUUGACUUUGGGAUAACUUCAGGAAACUGGGGCUAAUACCGGAUAGGAGCUCCUGCUGCAUGGUGGGGGUUGGAAAGUUUCGGCGGUUGGGGAUGGACUCGCGGCUUAUCAGCUUGUUGGUGGGGUAGUGGCUUACCAAGGCUUUGACGGGUAGCCGGCCUGAGAGGGUGACCGGGCACAUUGGGACUGAGAGACGGACCAGACUGCUACGGGAGGCAGCAGUGGGGAAUAUUGCACAAUGGGCGGAAGCCUGAUGCAGCAGCGCCGCGUGCGGGAUGACGGCCUUCGGGUUGUAAACCGCUUUCGCCUGUGACGAAGCGUGAUUGACGGUAAUGGGUAAAGAAGCACCGGCUAACUACGUG